ensembl:lncRNA uncharacterized LOC114854608
GGGAAACUCCAGAACCCGACAGGGUGGUUUGUCACAACACAAUCCUUUUUGUUGGCUCUAUCACACACUGCUGUCACUGUGAAAUUGUCUUAACAUUUCUAUUUCUUACAAAAGCAACUUCACCUCUGUGACUUGUCAGCGGUUUGAAUCAUCUGUUUCUAACCCACAAUAUCUAUUUUAGGUCAUGCAAAGCAAUGUGUGUGUGCGUGGGACUUCCUGUGGUGACGCGAUCCAGUACGCUGCUAUGAUUGGCUGGUCACUUCCCAACUUCCUCAAUAACAAGAAAACACAGGCAUCAGCUGUGAGUGCAGUGCAGUCAUCAAACGAUGCAGUAGGGGUUUGGAACAUUCCCUUCUCUACAAAUGUAUGAAUUCCAUCAGCAGAAGGCAGAGGAAUGUGAACAGGAAGUGUAGGGACCCGCUGACACCUGGAAGCACUCAAACAUUUUGUUACCAGGAGUGAAGUAUGGGCAGUGAGUACCAGCCACUAUCUUCAGCAGAGCCUUGCACAACUUUCUUCAUCGAGACGUCAGAGUGCUUUAUAUGCCGGGAUGUUGAACUUCAAGCCAGUGGCCCACUGAGGAAUUUUUGUGACUGCAAGAAUUCACUUUCUCAUCACGCAUGUCUAUCUACAUGGAUCCAGAAGGGGUGUGGGAGCAAAGACAGGCUGCGAUGCGUCAUCUGCAAAGCCAAGUACCAGCUCCAGAGGAGAUCUCCGUGGCUGUCGCUUGCCUUGCAGUGGCGGACGUGGCUCGUUCUGAUCACUGUCCUGGUUCUGCUGUGUCUGGUGCCUUACGCCGUUCACUGCAUGAUGACCGUCUUCACCGAUCCACCUCCACCCACCACCUUUAAAGUGGCUGCAGCCACUUUUGGCCUUUUGAUGGAGUUCCUGUUAAUCAAAUGUGCGUGGAGCUACAUCGGCGUUCAGUACCAGCAGGCUGAGCGGAGCUCCUUCACUGUCCGGCACCGCGGUUCGGAGGAGGGUGCGUCGGGCCGGAGCUGCUGGUACCGGUGUGGGUCCCUUUCAGCAGAGGCUGGUCGCGCUCCAGCAGCGGACUCACCCAUUGGAGAGAGGAAAGAGAGUGAGUUCAAAUCUGCAUGUCUUACCCUGUAGGCUUUCCUGAACUAUUAACGGGAGGGGUUUACAGAUUACUGUGUGAGAGCAAAGCCUUUGGGUAUUAGACGUGCCUAACAGCCAUUAAAGAUAUCACAGUUUCCGUUUAUCAGCAUGGCAUUUAUGAAAUCUUACACUUUAAAACCUAUUUUCGAAGUGUCAGAUAUUCUUGUUUUCCCCUAUGUGGAACCCUCACACUCUCACUUUAUUCAGUGGAUAUAUACGCGUGUAUUGCAAAUUGAUGAUGGGGAGGAGAGCACACGCAGCUUCCAUGAGUGUUCAGGCUCCGAGUGGGGGAAAAAAAGCCUAAAAUCACUGUCUUUCCUUAAUGAUGCCCACACAGAGACAAUGGGGCGCCGCUCUGAUUAGUGUCACCUGUCCUUGCGCAUCUCAUCAGCUCCAUUAUGGUUCUAUCUCCCAUGCUUCUCCUGCUAAUUGAAUAGCCUGUGAAGUGGUGACGAGGACGAGGGUGAGAGCGCCGUCUGUCCCACUGCUGCCUCAGAAAUGAGCGUGAAGCGUCUCGGUACAACACUAGAUCUUAAGCCAUUAACAGCAAACUGUAAGAAGCUCUUGUUAUAUCACUAUCAUGUCAAUUAUCUUUAAAUCUAAAAGGGUGACUACGUGUGACUGUAUAAUAUUCAUGCAUUAAAAAAGAUACUGUUCAAUGUCCUAGUGCACAUACUGUAUCUUUGGUGUCAGACAGCAGGUUCACAUUGCGGACAAUCGUGAGAAGCUGAUGUUUUCCAGCUGUGUAAUGAUUCAGUAGUUGCUCAUGGCAGCUAAACUUUGGAAAUGGCACAGUUAAGGUUAUCAGCGACACCGGCUUCAUGUGGACUCAGGUUUUAUGUUUUUCUCAAUUAAAGUGAACAACUUUUUUUUCCAAAGUCUUCUGACUUUUAUUCGAACUGUCCCAUAAUGCAGCAGUCUUCAUCUUUUGCUAGACUCCUUGCUACGUAAGGCCUCUUGGUCACACACCUGUCAAAUUGUGACUGCACCUUGAAUGGCAGCUGUCGAUGAUGAUGGCAUUGAGGGCCAUUUGUGACUCUGUACAACAACAGUUCCUCUUUAAUGCAUGAAUGUACUGUGAAUAAACAAGCCUGUAAAUGUCUGUGAAACUUUCUU